rnacentral:rRNA from 1 species
CGGUUGUGGAAUCUCAAGCACAUGGAGCUGUGCCCCUUUGACGUUGUUCGGCGGACGGGUGAGUAACACGUGGGUGACCUACCUAUUAGACAGGGAUAACUUCGGGAAACCGGAUCUCAUACCGGAGAACAUUUGGAACCGCACGGUUCUAAAGUGAAAGAUGGUUUUGCUAUCAUUUAUUGAUGGACCCGCGCCGUAGUAGCUACUUGGUAAGGUAACGGCGUACCAAGGCGACGAUACGUAGCCGACCUGAUAGGGUGAUCGGCCACACUGGAACUGAUACACGGUCCAGACUCCUACGGGAGGCAGCAGUAGGGAAUCUUCCGCAAUGGGCGAAAGCCUGACGGAGCAACGCCGCGUGAGUGAUGAAGGGUUUCGGCUCAUAAAACUCUGUUAUUACGGAAGAACAAAUGCGUAAGUAACUGUGCACAUCUUGACGGUACCUAAUCAGAAAGCCACGGCUAACUACUUGCCACCAGCCGCGGUAAUACGUAGGUGGCAAGCGUUAUCCGGAAUUAUUGGGCGUAAAGCGCGCGUAGGCGGUUUCUUAAGUCUGAUGUGAAAGCCCACGGCUCAACCGUGGAGGGUCAUUGGAAACUGGGAAACUUGAGUGCAGAAAAGGAAAGUGUAAUUCCAUGUGUAGCGGUGAAAUGCGCAUAGAUAUGGAGGAACACCACUGGCGAAGGCGACUUUCUGGUCUGUAACUGACGCUGAUGUGCGAAAACGUGGGGAUCAAACAAGAUUAUAUACCCUGGUAGUCCACGCCCUAAACAAUGAGUGCUGAGUGUUAGGGGGUUUCCGCCCCCUUAUUGCUGCAGCUAACGCAUGUAACACUCCGCCUG